AGUAAUACAUAAGUAACCUGCCCUAGACAGGGGGAUAACUAUUGGAAACGAUAGCUAAGACCGCAUAGGUACGGACACUGCAUGGUGACCGUAUUAAAAGUGCCUCAAAGCACUGGUAGAGGAUGGACUUAUGGCGCAUUAGCUGGUUGGCGGGGUAACGGCCCACCAAGGCGACGAUGCGUAGCCGACCUGAGAGGGUGACCGGCCACACUGGGACUGAGACACGGCCCAG
rnacentral:rRNA from 1 species